rnacentral:hammerhead_ribozyme from 1 species
AUCCAGCUGACGUGUCCCAAAUAGAACGAAAUUUUAGUCCUGGAU